rnacentral:rRNA from 2 species
AACGUAGGUCACAAGCGUUGUCCGGAAUUACUGGGUGUAAAGGGAGCGCAGGCGGGAAGGCAAGUUGGAAGUGAAAUCCAUGGGCUCAACCCAUGAACUGCUUUCAAAACUGUUUUUCUUGAGUAGUGCAGAGGUAGGCGGAAUUCCCGGUGUAGCGGUGGAAUGCGUAGAUAUCGGGAGGAACACCAGUGGCGAAGGCGGCCUACUGGGCACCAACUGACGCUGAGGCUCGAAAGUGUGGGUAGCAAACAGG